AUCUGGUCAAGAUGAAGCCAGAGGAAACUCUGGUGGAGGUCUGAAGUUGUUCUGACGUGCAAAUCGAUAAUCUGAUCUGGGUAUAGGGGCGAAAGACUAAUCGAACCAUCUAGUAGCUGGUUCCUUCCGAAGUUUCCCUCAGGAUAGCAAGCGUACAACUUAGUUUCAUCCCGUAAAGCGAAUGAUUAGAGGUAUUGGGGUGUAUAUAGCUUCAACCUAUUCUCAAACUUUUAAUGGGUGUGAGUGUUGUUUCUUUAUUGAAGAACGCUGCUAAAUAGGUAUGCUUAGUGGGCCAUUUUUGGUAAGCAGAACUGGCGCUGUGGGUUGAACCAAUUGUCGAGUUAAAGUGCCUAAAGCGGAAAUGCUCACGAGAUCUGUAAAGGGUGUUAGUUGCUGAAGACAGCAGGACGGUGGCCAUGGAA
rnacentral:rRNA from 1 species